rnacentral:rRNA from 1 species
UACGUAGGGUGCAAGCGUUGUCCGGAAUUAUUGGGCGUAAAGAGCUCGUAGGCGGUCUGUCGCGUCGGCUGUGAAAACUCGGGGCUCAACUCCGAGCUUGCAGUCGAUACGGGCAGGCUAGAGUUCGGCAGGGGAGACUGGAAUUCCUGGUGUGGCGGUGAAAUGCGCAGAUAUCAGGAGGAACACCGGUGGCGAAGGCGGGUCUCUGGGCCGAUACUGACGCUGAGGAGCGAAAGCGUGGGGAGCGAACAGG